AAAAAGGAAGAGGAAAGAAAGGCAGAAGCAUCACAGAGGCCGACGGCCAAGCCAAGAGCAAAGACUCGGGAUCUCCAAAACGACAAACCAGUAGCUGUGCAGAAAGAGACAGAAGCUGGGAAGCCUCAGCGUCUACCUGUUAAACAGAAGAGCUCACCGGAUUUACAGUUAGGCCAAAUUAUGGCUGUAAAACCACCACCAGCAGACCGCAAAGCUUCCUCUAAGAGGUCCCGUGAAGUGAGAAGAUCUCCCUUAACCCUUGAGCCAAGAGUGACAACACCACC